GCCCAUGACCAUAUCAACCUGAAUGUGCUCGAUUUCAUCAGACCUCGGAAGCUAAGCAUAGUACACCCUGGCUAAUAGUUAAAUGGGAGACGGCCUGUGAAUACCAGGUGUUGUAGGUU
rnacentral:rRNA from 1 species